AUUUCAACACCCAAAGAGUAAUUUUAACACAUUCAGAGUAAAAUGUUGUUUGGUGUUGGAGUUAUUUCACAGAGUUGAUCAUCAGUGUUAAACAAACUCCAUAGAGACGUAAUUAGACUCCGCCCAUGCAUUUCCAAUCGUCGCUGGUGAAAUCCAUGAAGACGUCGCCAUUAUCCUCGUGUGGUUUUGAAAGUCAUUGAGAAAUUUUGCUUGCCACCUAAUGCAAAGGUUACAUACAAGGAUGCAACAGGGACAGAAGUCGAUGCAGAAAUAUUCAGCGACCUCAUUGGACAAGGCAAUGUGCUGCUGACUGUUUUCUCAAAUGAUGAAUUUUCAGACUCUUUGUCUUCUGAGAAGUCUGACAAGAGCAACAGUUCAAGUGCAUCGACUGUAAUCUUACAUGAAGUCCCUAACAAGAGACAAAGAAAAGAGGACACAUCUGCACUGUCUGCAAAACAGUUGGUCGAGGAUGUUCUAAAAUUAAUGUGGUGAAGGCGUACUACAGGAGUAUCAAGAAAUAGAAACUCUAACAGAUGCCACAAGAAGACAAAUGAUCAACACACUGGUGGCUCACAUGAUUGAUACACAUGGGCAACUCCCUACUAAAGCUAUCAGAGAACAGUAUGCUCUUGGUAUAGUGAUACUGUUCCCUCAGAAAUCCAUAUUCCAAGAAAGGCUACGAACACUUUUAUGAUGCUGCAAGCAACAUAGGAUACAUUGCUUGGCAUAUGAAAACAGUCCACAGGAAGAUUAGAUGAAGAUCUUUGCCACUAGACAGCCCUCAUGAUGUUUCUCCAGGAGGCCCAAAAUGCCAAAGGGCUACUAAUUUUGAAUGGCAACUUGAUGGGAGUGCUUGCAGAGAGGCAAUUUCUUUGCUCAGCCAUACCAAAGAGAAGUCCCUAAUAUUCCAAAAGAUGAGAGAGAC